GGAUGUGAGGGCGAUCUGGCUGCGACAUCUGUCACCCCAUUGAUCGCCAGGGUUGAUUUGGCUGAUCUGGCUGGCUAGGCGGGUGUCCCCUUCCUCCCUUACCGCUCCAUGUGCGUCCCUCCCGAAGCUGCGCGCUCGGUCGAAGAGGACGACCAUCCCCGCCAGAGGAGGACUGGUCUUCAGUCAAGGGUAUACGAGUAGCUGCGCUCCCCUGCUAGAACCUCCAAACAAGCUCUCAAAAUAUGUACAUAUAUUGUGGAAUGGCUAAAUUGAACUAAUUAACAUGUUUUACCUCACAUACCUAUUUUUGUGAUGAGAA
ensembl:misc_RNA 7SK 7SK RNA